UGAGGAAUAUUGCACAAUGGGCGAAAGCCUGAUGCAGCAACGCCGCGUGAGGGACGAAGGCCUUCGGGUCGUAAACCUCUUCUGGGGAAAGAGCAAGGACGGUACCUCAGGAAUAAGUCUCGGCUAACUACGUGCCAGCAGCCGCGGUAAAACGUAGGAGGCGAGCGUUAUCCGGAUUUACUGGGCGUAAAGCGCACGCAGGCGGCUUCGUUAGUCCGAUGUGAAAGCUCCUGGCUUAACUAGGAGAGGCCAUUCGAUACUGCGAGGCUUGAGGCAGGGAGAGGGGUGCGGAAUUCCCGGUGUAGUGGUGGAAUGCGUAGAUAUCGGGAGGAACACCUGUGGCGAAAGCGGCACCCUGGCCCUCGCCUGACGCUGAGGUGCGAAAGCGUGGGGAGUAAACAG
rnacentral:rRNA from 1 species